rnacentral:tRNA from 1 species
AGGGGAUUAGUUCAAUGGUAGAACUUUUGACUUACAUUCAAAGAAUAUCAGUUCAAUUCUGGUAUCCCCUAC